AACAGUAAGUGUGGAGCUGGAGGGAAGGUUCUCAAGUAUGGAGGGAGGAAGGGAAAGCUGACCCUGUCAGAAACAAACUUCAGGUCAAAGAGCAACCCCGGUGAGGAGGCCAGACUACCCCCACCCCAGCCCCCAAGGAGCAGAGAAACAAAGACAGGAAAGCAGCUGCUCCCUCCAACUCAGUUUAAAUGUCCUGGUCACGUCCUUCCCCAGCUCAAAGGGGCCUGGGCCACUGGCCCUCCAUCCUUCCCCAGGGCCGAGGCCACAGCCCUCAGCCCCCACCCACCCCCAGCCAGCACCAAGGACAGGAGAAACCAGCAUGGUACACAGCACAUCGGAAAGGGGCUACAUGCAAAGACCGGCUCCUGCCAAGCAAGCCGAGGAGCUUAUCACAGACGGCGCCCAGCGGGAACACCACACCUGCUCCCCUCUCCCUGGGACACGCUGGCUGACAAGCAGCCUGUCUUCAGCAUCGGCCUGAGUGUCUGCCCCAGCGAAAGCUGCCUGGGCUUCCACGCUCAGCACACCCCCACCUCCAACCAAGCCUGCUGUGGCCCCUGGGAGUGGAAGCGGACAAACCAGUUCAUGGGGCAUCCCUGGGGCCUUAUCUCACAGGCCCCACAGCUCCUGCAGGGCGACCUCUCCUCACCCUCAGCAUCCUCGAAGCCCCCAUGUGUAAUGCCAGCCCCAGGCUCAGGCGCCCUCAGAAACAGAGCCAUCCUAACUGCCCCUCAGCCCUUCUCCCCACACCCCCCCACCCCCUGGCCACCUGGUCAGCAGCUUCCCAGCCAAAGGUCCCAAACCCUCACNUCUCCCCCUCUCCUGCUGGUCCAGAGGGAAGCUAACUGGACCGGUGGGAGGAGACGGAAGCACUGUAUUCUGGGAUAUUCAAACAGAAGACGUCCAUUUCCUCUAUUGUCAUCCUGAGCAUCUGGAAGCAAGGGACAGAGUGUGGGAGGGGUCAGGACUGAGACAAGAAGGGCUGGUGGGCUGAGAGCAUCACCCUCCAU
rnacentral:lncRNA from 1 species